GACGAACGCUGGCGGCGUGCCUAAUACAUGCAAGUCGAACGCUGAAGGAGGAGCUUGCUUCUCUGGAUGAGUUGCGAACGGGUGAGUAACGCGUAGGUAACCUGCCUGGUAGCGGGGGAUAACUAUUGGAAACGAUAGCUAAUACCGCAUAAGAGUAGAUGUUGCAUGACAUUUGCUUAAAAGGUGCAAUUGCAUCACUACCAGAUGGACCUGCGUUGUAUUAGCUAGUUGGUGGGGUAACGGCUUACCAAGGCGACGAUACAUAGCCGACCUGAGAGGGGGAUCGGCCACACUGGGACUGAGACACGGCCCAGACUCCUACGGGAGGCAGCAGUAGGGAAUCUUCGGCAAUGGACGGAAGUCUGACCGAGCAACGCCGCGUGAGUGAAGAAGGUUUUCGGAUCGUAAAGCUCUGUUGUAAGAGAAGAACGAGUGUGAGAGUGGAAAGUUCACACUGUGACGGUAUCUUACCAGAAAGGGACGGCUAACUACGUG
rnacentral:rRNA from 1 species